rnacentral:rRNA from 1 species
GACGAACGCUGGCGGCGUGCUUAACACAUGCAAGUCGAACGGUGAAGCGCCUUCCUUUUUGGUGGGUGUGGAUGAGUGGCGAACGGGUGAGUAACACGUGAGUAACCUGCCCCCUUCUUCUGGAUAACCGCAUGAAAGUGUGGCUAAUACGGGAUAUUCUGGGUCUGUCGCAUGAUGGGUCUGGGAAAGAUAUUGUUUCGGUGGGGGAUGGGCUCGCGGCCUAUCAGCUUGUUGGUGGGGUGAUGGCCUACCAAGGCGGUGACGGGUAGCCGGCCUGAGAGGGUGGACGGUCACACUGGGACUGAGCCACGGCCCAGACUCCUACGGGAGGCAGCAGUGGGGAAUAUUGCACAAUGGGCGCAAGCCUGAUGCAGCGACGCCGCGUGAGGGAUGGAGGCCUUCGGGUUGUGAACCUCUUUCGCCAGUGAAGCAGGCCUGCCUCGUUUGUGGGUGGGUUGACGGUAGCUGGAUAAGAAGCGCCGGCUAACUACGU